UUUCUUUCAAAAUUUCGUUUCUUUUUUUUAUUUCUAUUUGUGACGGAAGCUAAUUUUUUUCUUUUCUUGUAUUGUAGAAAAAAGAGCAGGAAUAAGAAACUUAUCAAGCAUACAAGACAAGAACCCUGAAGCUUAUGAGAAUGUCCAUCCAAUGGAAGACACCUCACAAGGCAUGACAACAAAAACAGCGCGAACGCCAAAUGCUGAAAAGGAGCUUUAUGAAACGAUAAACGAAACCAGAGACAAAGACAGCGCUGCAAUAGCAACAACUGUGAAACAUACGCGUGGGCCUUCUGCCGGCGUCCAAGGUAACGCACCUUCAUUGCCGCAACAUUACCAAGAGCUUCAAAGAAAGGCACCUAAUCCGACCCCGCUGUAUGAGCCUCUCAAGCAGCAAGGCUUUCGUAACAAAGGAGAGUUAGCUCCAGAAGAUCCAAAGACGUACGAACAUCUGCAACAGAGUGCAUCAGGAAGAGAAUACCAGUCAUUGAAGAGUUAUAAGGAUACCGAGAGUAAAGUGUGACGCAAUAUCUCUACAGUUUAAAUAAUUAUUCAAAAGCUACUAAAUAAACAAAUCUACUCGAGUUUUGAUAUUAAAAUUGCUGCAGCGCUACCACGUGUCAACAUCAAUUUCUAGCUGGCUUUAUUUUCUAAUCAUUCAAAGGUAAAAAUGCUGCAACUGAAUGGGAAUACAUAUUCUUAAUACAUAUUCUUAAUUCUUAAUGAUUUGCGCCACUGAAUACUUUCUUAUUCAUACUCAUGUGGAAAACAAAAUAAAUAUAUAUUUCAGUU